GUUCUCGCAUUGGCAGCACAUAUACUAAAGUUGGAACGAUACAGGGAAGAUUAGCAUGGCCCCUAGCAAGGAUGACCCAAAUUAAAGGUUUAAAAAAAUUUA
rnacentral:snRNA from 1 species